GAUAGAUCAUAAUUGAAAUCACUUUAAAUGUUUCACUAAUCAUUAUGACAUUAUUAAUAACUUUAAUAUUAUUACUCAACAUUAAAAAAACUCUUACCAUUUACUACACAAAUAACAAUUCCACGGACAUAUUUGAAGUGUUCAAAGAAAAAUACAAUAAGAGGUAUGUAAAUGCAGUGGAAGAAGAAAAUCGUUUAAAAACGUUUGUUAAGAAUUUAAACAUUGUCGACAAACUAAAUGAAAAUCAAACCGAUCGCGCAACAUUUUUUAUGCUCAACCAAUACGCAGACUUAAGUCCUGAAGUGAUUGAAGAACAAUAUGCUAUUAAAGUACGACCAUUUUAUAAUGUUAAUAAUAAAGAUGAAGGGGAAAAUGUGGCCAGACAAAAGCACAAAGAAUUGGAUACAAGUCAACUUUUCAAUUUAGAUAAUGCUUCAGAACUUUAUAAGGAUUUUAUGAAAAACUACAGUAAAAACUAUACUAAAAAACGAGAUCAGGAGAAACAUUUUUAUCGAUUCGUGAAAACGCUUGUUGAAAUAAAUAGAAAUAUGUUUAAUGGGAACACAACUUUAGCGCUUGAUGAAAAUGCAGACGUUAUCAAAGAACCGAAUGAGUAUUUUUAUUAAAACUAUGAAAAGUGCAUUUCUGUUAAAAAUAAAUAUUCUUACAAUAUUACGGAUUAUGAGUUAUCUGCUA